rnacentral:rRNA from 1 species
CGGUAAUACGGAGGGUGCGAGCGUUAAUCGGAAUUACUGGGCGUAAAGCGCAUGCAGGUGGUUUGUUAAGUCAGAUGUGAAAGCCCGGGGCUCAAACCUCGGAAUUGCAUUUGAAACUAGGCAAACUAGAGUACUGUAGAGGGGGGUAGGAAUUUCAGGUGUAGCGGUGAAAUGCGUAGAGAUCUGAAGGAAUACCGGUGGCGAAGGCGGCCCCCUCGGACAGAUACUGACACUCAGAUGCGAAAGCGUGGGGAGCAAACAGGAUUAGAUACCCUGGUAG